GGGGAGGCCUCGGACUACCCUGGAUGACAUGGAAUCGGGGACCCACUCUUCUCCCUGGAGGGGUCAGAGGCGGUUCUAGCAAAGGAAAGUUACUCCACAGACCAGGGUCCUGAGAGAGGCGGCGGCCUAAGGCCACACAGCAGGGGAUUCCAGCAUUCUCGGGGCAGGGGGCAGGGAUUAUUGCCCCAGAUUACAGAGUCUCAGAGAGAUGGCUGUCACUGGGUCCAGUUCCUGCUUCCCUAAAGCCAUGCCCCUGAGGGUGCACACCUCUCUUUACACACUCAGUCGACAUGGAGCUCACUACCCUGAAGAGGUGCCUUCCACCUACGGACACUCCUCAGCUGGAAAGCUGCUCCUCACAUUACCUUCUGCCCCCGAACGCCGCCCAGAGACAACGCUUCGUCCCUCCAGCCCUGCAGAGGUUCCCAGACAGAGCACGUCCCAUGAGGCACGGUCCGGUCAACGUGCCCAGUCCCACCCACGCUUCUUAGGACACAAUGGCAGCCACCGUCACUAACACUGGCUCUUCCUGUGGGCCUACACGUGUGCUUUACACGGGCUGACCUAUUUCACUCCCACGACAACCCUAUGAGGCACCAACUAUUGUCACCCACUCUUCAGUGAUGAGAAAACGAGGUUCAGCGAGGGGAGCCGGAAAGGAGGGGAGCUGGCUCUGCGUGACUCCCGACAGCACCAGCCCUUCUGGCUGGCAGGUUCCCUCAGGGCGAGGCUCAGAAAGCGUUUCAAUUUGAACAACAGGGGCUCCAAUCGACCCUGCACUCGCCCCUCCCACUUCCCUGCUUCAGUCCUGUCCCCAGGCUGCUCCAAAGGCCAUGGAUUUAGAAAGUCCUCAGCUGGUGGGGCAGGAAGGCCCUCGGUGGGAUAAGCUGGCCUGGACGGCUUAGAGAGGGGAGGGCUGCAGAGCAGGCGGUGGGCCAGGACCUGGGCUGACCCCAGGGAGACGAAGAGGCCCCCCCACCUUCCCCGCUGUUGUCUCGGGACAAGAGGAGCAUGGCAGACAAGGCCAGGGGCCGAGAAAGCCCAGCCUCUGACGAGCUCCCGUGCCUUCCACCCCAGCCCACAGUGACUCCAUGGAAAAGGAAUGUAGCAGAAGGCUUGCACCAGACCCAGCUAGCAAUCCAGAUGAGUUUUGCCACCCUGCAUAAACAAAGCUGAAAGCAGGGGCCAGGCCAGCUCCCGGCACCCAGAGUCCCCAGGGCAGGGCACGAGGGAGGCAGCUCCAUCCAGAAUUCCUCAGACCGGGGAAUGGCCACCCCCGGCAGUGCCCAGCCAUUGGGCCCAAGCCUGCACUCCCUGGUGUCAGACGGGCAGGAAUGGGCGCUUCACUGAGCCCCCUACCUGCCUGAUCCGGCCUGCACCUGUGCGAGUCACAACAGCGCCCUCUCCUCUCCUCUGUGCUCUGCACGGCCAGGCUGGGCGCUGGCCCCUGAAAGGCCCACCUGGACAAUGGAGCAGGAGCUCUGAGGACGGGCCUUAGGAGAGGACGAGGUAAGGGCAGGUGCAAGGAGGGGCUGCCGGAGGAAAGCAGGGGGCAAGGACCAGGAUCCACCAGGGUUCAAACCCCAAGUUGGGGAGGCGGACAGGAAGCCCUGAGGUGGACAUGAGAAUGAGGAUGCAAUGGGGCUGUCAUUACUGAGCCCUUCCUACAGCCCAGGUGCUGUGCUAUGCCCUUUGUACUCCUCUUUUCAGUCUUUCCCACAGUCCCCCAGAGAGAAGACUGUUAUUCUUCCCAGUUUGCAGAUGAAAUCAGAGGUCAGAGAGACCUGCCCAGGGUCAGACAGCUUGAUGCUCGGGGCAGCUGAAGAGCAGGAGGAAAGGGCUGCAUUGGGAGCUGCAGGCCUGGAUGUAAGUCUCCAACUCGUUAUGAGGCCUCCCGAUCCAGCCCGAAUCAGAACCCCGCAGAACGCAUCAGGGAGUGUGCCCCAAAUGCAGAUUCCUGGGCUCCGCUCCAGACCCAGCACCUCGGAAUACGCGUGUGCACAGCCUCCCAGAAGAGUUCUGAAGUGGUCAGGUUGGGGACCACUGGGCUUUAGAGCCCACGAUUUUAUAAACGUGUUUGUAAGCAAAUCAACACACAGGGAAGUGCAUAACGUUAACAAAAAAUGCACUUGAAAAUAGAUUUUGUACAUAAAUAUAGCCAUGAUUAUAUACUAGCCCUUCAAUACGCACGACAUUUUAAUGGUCUCAUAGCAUCGACACAUCCGUCAGAGGCGGAAGCAGAGCAGGAAUAGUUACAGAACUUGCCAGACCAGAAGGCUGAUGCAGAGCAGGCCCAAGGCGCCUUGCAGAAGGCAGGUCUUUGGCUCGGCCCCCUGAGAUGUGCCCCCUCUGGCCUCACCACCUCAUCCCAUAUGGUUCUGACUUCCUGCCCUGGGUGAACCUGACCUUUCACUCCAGGUUUACAAAAAAUCUGCACACACAUGACUUCAACAACUCAAGGUUCUCAGAGAACGAGGGCCACCCCACCCAGUUAGUGCCCUUCCAGUCCUAAGGACCUCCUCCCUGAGCAGUGCAGGGUGUUCCCAAAGCCCCACCUCCACAUCUGCCAUUUGAUCCGAAACGCUCCUUCUGUGCCAGCCUCGGUUUCCUCUUCUGUAAACGGGCCUCCUAGUUCCUACCCCGCAGGAUGAGUGGGAGGACCGGGUCUCAUGUGCAAAGCACCCAGCACAGCGGGUGUCAGGCCCGGCACCCAUGCUUCUGUGACGAUGGAACACCACGAACUCGCAGGCUGGAGCGAGCCCCUGGAAGGCAGGGGUGCGCUCUCAUUUACCAGUGUUCCCACCCCCACCCCAUGUGACACAUGCUCCAUAAGAAUGUGCUGAUGCACGAAGACACGAUAUCGCCAAA